UUACGGUCAAAUCACGCUGAAACACCGGUUCUCGUACGAUCACCGAAGUUAAGCAGCGUAGAGCCAGGUCAGUACUUAGAUGGGGGACUGC